UGGGGAAUUUUGGACAAUGGGCGAAAGCCUGAUCCAGCAAUGCCGCGUGUGUGAAGAAGGCCUUCGGGUUGUAAAGCACUUUUGUCCGGAAAGAAAUCCUUGGCUCUAAUACAGUCGGGGGAUGACGGUACCGGAAGAAUAAGCACCGGCUAACUACGUGCCAGCAGCCGCGGUAAUACGUAGGGUGCAAGCGUUAAUCGGAAUUACUGGGCGUAAAGCGUGCGCAGGCGGUUUGCUAAGACCGAUGUGAAAUCCCCGGGCUCAACCUGGGAACUGCAUUGGUGACUGGCAGGCUAGAGUAUGGCAGAGGGGGUAGAAUUCCACGUGUAGCAGUGAAAUGCGUAGAGAUGUGGAGGAAUACCGAUGGCGAAGGCAGCCCCCUGGGCCAAAUACUGACGCUCAUGCACGAAAGCGUGGGGGGCAAACAGGAUUAGAUACCCUGGUAGUCCACGCCCUAAACGAUGUCAACUAGUUGUUGGGGAUUCAUUUCCUUAGUAACGUAGCUAACGCGUGAAGUUGACCGCCUGGGGAGUACGGUCGCAAGAUUAAAACUCAAAUGAAUUGACGGGGUCAUAGCUGUUUCCU
rnacentral:rRNA from 1 species